UGGGGAAUAUUGCGCAAUGGGCGAAAGCCUGACGCAGCAACGCCGUGUGAGGGAUGAAGGCUUUCGGGUCGUAAACCUCUGUCAGAAGGGAAGAACGGGUGAGGGUCUAACAGGCCUUUAUUUUGACGGUACCUUCAGAGGAAGCACCGGCUAACUCCGUGCCAGCAGCCGCGGUAAUACGGAGGGUGCAAGCGUUAUUCGGAAUUACUGGGCGUAAAGCGCACGUAGGCGGCCUUGUAAGUCAGGGGUGAAAUCCCACGGCUCAACCGUGGAACUGCGCGUGAAACUGCGGGGCUUGAAUCCUGGAGAGGGUGGCGGAAUUCCUGGUGUAGGAGUGAAAUCCGUAGAUAUCAGGAGGAACACCGGUGGCGAAGACGGCCACCUGGACAGGCAUUGACGCUGAGGUGCGAAAGUGUGGGGAGCAAAAAG
rnacentral:rRNA from 1 species